rfam:Paxillus involutus ATCC 200175 unplaced genomic scaffold PAXINscaffold_48, whole genome shotgun sequence.
UCACUUGACGAAAAAGAGCUAUGUGCUCGAAUAACCCAGCUCGUUGAGGCGGGAGUAACGCCCCAUAUUCCUAUGAGAUAAACUUCAAUCUGAUUUC